rnacentral:rRNA from 1 species
UAGGGAAUCUUCGGCAAUGGACGGAAGUCUGACCGAGCAACGCCGCGUGAGUGAAGAAGGUUUUCGGAUCGUAAAGCUCUGUUGUAAGAGAAGAACGAGUGUGAGAGUGGAAAGUUCACACUGUGACGGUAUCUUACCAGAAAGGGACGGCUAACUACGUGCCAGCAGCCGCGGUAAUACGUAGGUCCCGAGCGUUAUCCGGAUUUAUUGGGCGUAAAGUGAGCGCAGGCGGUUAGAUAAGUCUGAAGUUAAAGGCUGUGGCUUAACCAUAGUACGCUUUGGAAACUGUUUAACUUGAGUGCAAGAGGGGAGAGUGGAAUUCCAUGUGUAGCGGUGAAAUGCGUAGAUAUAUGGAGGAACACCGGUGGCGAAAGCGGCUCUCUGGCUUGUAACUGACGCUGAGGCUCGAAAGCGUGGGGAGCAAACAGGAUUAGAUACCCUGGUAGUCCACGCCGUAAACGAUGAGUGCUAGGUGUUAGACCCUUUCCGGGGUUUAGUGCCGUAGCUAACGCAUUAAGCACUCCGCCUGGGGAGUACGACCGCAAGGUUG